rnacentral:rRNA from 3 species
UACGUAGGGUACGAGCGUUGUCCGGAAUUAUUGGGCGUAAAGAGCUCGUAGGUGGUUGGUCACGUCUGCUGUGGAAACGCAACGCUUAACGUUGCGCGUGCAGUGGGUACGGGCUGACUAGAGUGCAGUAGGGGAGUCUGGAAUUCCUGGUGUAGCGGUGAAAUGCGCAGAUAUCAGGAGGAACACCGGUGGCGAAGGCGGGACUCUGGGCUGUAACUGACACUGAGGAGCGAAAGCAUGGGGAGCGAAC